GAUGAACGCUGGCGGCGUGCCUAACACAUGCAAGUCGAGCGAACGGACGAGAAUUUCCUUUUUCUGUUGUUAUAGUCGGAUGGGGGACGAAUGCGUGGAAAAUCUAUCUACUACACCGGGAUAACUUCUGGACACCGGAACCAAUACCGGAUAAUAUUUUGAACUGCAGGGUUCAAAAGUGAAUGACGGUCUUGCUGUCACUUAUAGAUGGUUCCGCGCUGGAUUAUCAACUUGUUAAGGUGACGGUUUACUACGACGACGAUGCAUAGCCGACGGGGGGGGGUGAUCGGCCACGCUGGAACUGAGACACGGUCCAGACUCCUACGGGAGGCAGCGGUAGGGGAUCUUACGCAAUGGGCAUAAGCCUGACGGUGCAACGCCGCGUGAGUGAUGGAGAUCUCCGGAUCGUAAAUCUCUGUUAUUAGGGAAGACCAUAUGUGUAAGUAACUGUGCGCAUCUUGACGGUACCUAAACAGGAAGCCACGGCUAACUACGUG
rnacentral:rRNA from 1 species